UACGAAGGGGGCUAGCGUUGCUCGGAAUUACUGGGCGUAAAGCGCACGUAGGCGGAUUGUUAAGUCGGGGGUGAAAUCCUGGAGCUCAACUCCAGAACUGCCUUCGAUACUGGCGAUCUCGAGUUCGGGAGAGGUGAGUGGAACUGCGAGUGUAGAGGUGAAAUUCGUAGAUAUUCGCAAGAACACCAGUGGCGAAGGCGGCUCACUG
rnacentral:rRNA from 1 species